UACGAAGGGGACUAGCGUUGUUCGGAUUUACUGGGCGUAAAGAGCGCGCAGGCGGUCGUUCAAGUCGCGUGUGAAAGCCCCCGGCUCAACUGGGGAGGGUCACGCGAUACUGAUCGACUCGAAGGCAGGAGAGGGUAGUGGAAUUCCCGGUGUAGUGGUGAAAUGCGUAGAUAUCGGGAGGAACACCAGUGGCGAAGGCGACUACCUGGCCUGUUCUGAC
rnacentral:rRNA from 1 species